UAAACUACAGUGACGUGGGUCAGGAGCAUGAUUGUAAAGCUAAGAAACAUAUUUGCUUUGGAACAGGUGACGUGGGGGGGGGCAGAAACCAGGAAGGUGCGGGAAAUACAAUUGGUGAGGAAGUGGAACAGGUUAAUAGUUUUCUCUCCAGGGCAGCUUUGACCACAAAGUACAUGACCAAAUCAGGUCGAAGAGACAUGUUAACCAUCCUUGCCAUGGGAUGGAACCAUUGGAAGGUGGAGCUUCUCCACAAGGCACUGGUAAAGAGGUUUAUCAAGAUUACAAAGCGAGCAGAAAUUGAAGUAGCGAAUCUUCACUCAAGCAAGACCUGAACAUCUC